UACGUAGGGGGCAAGCGUUGUCCGGAAUCAUUGGGCGUAAAGCGCGUGUAGGCGGCUUGGUAAGUCUGCUCUGAAAGCCCGGGGCUCAACCCCGGGAGGCGGGUGGAUACUGUCAAGCUCGAGUCCGGAAGAGGAGUGUGGAAUUCCUGGUGUAGCGGUGAAAUGCGUAGAGAUGUGGAGGAACACCAGUGGCGAAGGCGACUCUUUGGCCUGUAACUGACGCUGAGGCGCGAAAGCGUGGGGAGCAAACAGG
rnacentral:rRNA from 1 species